UGAGGCUGAAAGUUGGGUGAGACUGCUUCACUUUGAAGUUCAACAUUUAUAGAAUUUUCUUAAUGGUUGGGAAGGCAUUGUUCCAUUACUCGUGUCGGCAAGCCUGGGAUAAUUUAACAGUAGUUUUCACGUGCAUUCCGCUUCUCCAAAAAUUUUCGACAGAUUACGCGUGAUUUACGCAACGCAGAUGUGCAAAUUGACAGAUGCUGACACGUCUCGAUAAAGCAGAGGUCUCUUUAAUAUCCAGAAUUUACGCUUCGAGUUCUGAGCUUCG
rnacentral:lncRNA from 1 species